CUCUCAUUCCGUUAGAAGUUCAAAUUUCCUUAUGUUUCUCGUUCAUUCUA
rnacentral:tRNA from 1 species